AGAAGAAGUAUUUGAAAAGUGUUAGCUAUAAAAAUACAAAUUGCCAAAAGAAAAUAAUUAUUCACGACAAUAUUCUUAUUAAGGAAGGAUGUGGGAUGAAACAGAUUACCUCAGGAUGUCUUUCAAACAGCUAAAAUCGCUAAACUGUUACUGAUGAUGGAAAAGGGAGUUGGUGCUGAAAAUAAGGGACGGACGUUGAACGAAAUCGAUAUGGAAUUGGAAAUGUGGAACAAUGUUGACAUGAAACAAGAGAUAACUCGCUCCAACUCCAUUGAAGAUUCUCUACAACAUAAUGAAACUGUUCAGGACCAAUGUGACGAAGAAGAGCAUCCAAAGGAUGUGCACUCAACUAGCACGAUUGCUGAAAAGUUUAUCGAAGAACCAGUGAAGAGAGAGAUCGCUCUGAAGAGAACAUCCACUAAACAAUCCACACGAGGUACAUGGACAGCAAAACAAAAAUCAAUUAUGAUAUCUUAUUUCAAAACCCACUUGAAAAAUAAAAUAGCACCAAAGAAAGCUGAGUGUAUCAAACUCAUAAAUGAGAAACCUGAUUUGUUUAUUGAUAAGAAAUGGGUUCAAAUAAAAGCUUUUAUCUAUAAUACAUAUCGUUUACCAUAACUUCAUUAUUACAGGAGCUGCCUCAUUUCAUCAUUUUUUUGCAUAGAACGAUAUUUUGUUUCUUUAUUUUUAUUAAAUACUUACUGAAUAUUUUGCUGUUUCAUUUACAUACAU